UGGCUCAGGAUGAACGCUAGCUACAGGCUUAACACAUGCAAGUCGAGGGGCAGCAUUUUAGUUUGCUUGCAAACUAAAGAUGGCGACCGGCGCACGGGUGAGUAACACGUAUCCAACCUGCCGAUAACUCGGGGAUAGCCUUUCGAAAGAAAGAUUAAUAUCCGAUAGUAUAUUAAAACCGCAUGGUUUUACUAUUAAAGAAUUUCGGUUAUCGAUGGGGAUGCGUUCCAUUAGUUUGUUGGCGGGGUAACGGCCCACCAAGACAACGAUGGAUAGGGGUUCUGAGAGGAAGGUCCCCCACAUUGGAACUGAGACACGGUCCAAACUCCUACGGGAGGCAGCAGUGAGGAAUAUUGGUCAAUGGACGAGAGUCUGAACCAGCCAAGUAGCGUGAAGGAUGACUGCCCUAUGGGUUGUAAACUUCUUUUAUAUGGGAAUAAAGUAUUCCACGUGUGGGAUUUUGUAUGUACCAUAUGAAUAAGGAUCGGCUAACUCCGUGCCAGCAGCCGCGGUAAUACGGAGGAUCCGAGCGUUAUCCGGAUUUAUUGGGUUUAAAGGGAGCGUAGGUGGAUUGUUAAGUCAGUUGUGAAAGUUUGCGGCUCAACCGUAAAAUUGCAGUUGAAACUGGCAGUCUUGAGUACAGUAGAGGUGGGCGGAAUUCGUGGUGUAGCGGUGAAAUGCUUAGAUAUCACGAAGAACUCCGAUUGCGAAGGCAGCUCACUAGACUGCAACUGACACUGAUGCUCGAAAGUGUGGGUAUCAAACAGGAUUAGAUACCCUGGUAGUCCACACAGUAAACGAUGAAUACUCGCUGUUUGCGAUAUACAGUAAGCGGCCAAGCGAAAGCAUUAAGUAUUCCACCAGGGGAGUACGCCGGCAACGGUGAAACUCAAAGGAAUUGACGGGGGCCCGCACAAGCGGAGGAACAUGUGGUUUAAUUCGAUGAUACGCGAGGAACCUUACCCGGGCUUAAAUUGCAUUUGAAUAAUCUGGAAACAGGUUAGCCGCAAGGCAAAUGUGAAGGUGCUGCAUGGUUGUCGUCAGCUCGUGCCGUGAGGUGUCGGCUUAAGUGCCAUAACGAGCGCAACCCUUAUCUUUAGUUACUAACAGGUCAUGCUGAGGACUCUAGAGAGACUGCCGUCGUAAGACGUGAGGAAGGUGGGGAUGACGUCAAAUCAGCACGGCCCUUACGUCCGGGGCUACACACGUGUUACAAUGGGGGGUACAGAAGGCAGCUACCUGGCGACAGGAUGCUAAUCCCAAAAACCUCUCUCAGUUCGGAUCGAAGUCUGCAACCCGACUUCGUGAAGCUGGAUUCGCUAGUAAUCGCGCAUCAGCCAUGGCGCGGUGAAUACGUUCCCGGGCCUUGUACACACCGCCCGUCAAGCCAUGAAAGCCGGGGGUACCUGAAGUACGUAACCGCAAGGAGCGUCCUAGGGUAAAACUGGUAA
rnacentral:rRNA from 1 species